GCCGGUGUAGCUUAAUGGCAAAGCAACCGCCUUGUAAGCGGUAGAGUGGGAGUUCGAAUCUCCCCACCGGCU
rnacentral:tRNA from 1 species